GCGCCAGUCACUGAAGCUCCACAGAUGACCCCGAUUCACACACCAAGGUAAAAACGGAUGGCUUUCAAAUGACACAGAAAGGAGAUUUCACACAUGGCAGGGAAGGAAUGUAAACUACUGACAACCACCCAAAGGACUUUUCUCUGUGUACCUUGGUUUGUGGGGACAUUCAUGGACAAUUCUUUGAUUUGAUGAAGCUCUUUGAAGUCGGGGGAUCUCCUGCCAACACUCGCUACCUCUUCUUAGGGGACUAUGUUGACAGAGGGUACUUCAGUAUUGAAGGUAAUUUGUCAAACUCAUUAAUUAAAACAAAACAGAUAACCUUUGAAUAGAGGUUCUUCCACAGCCUCCCAUCUGCAUCUGCUUUAGUGUGUGCUGUAUUUGUGGGCCUUGAAAAUUCUCUACCCCAAAACACUGUUUUUACUUCGUGGAAAUCAUGAAUGUAGACAUCUAACAGAGUAUUUCACAUUUAAACAAGAAUGUAAAAUAAAGUAUUCAGAACGCGUAUAUGAUGCCUGUAUGGAUGCCUUUGACUGCCUUCCCCUGGCUGCCCUGAUGAACCAACAGUUCCUGUGUGUGCAUGGUGGUUUGUCUCCAGAGAUUAACACUUUAGAUGAUAUCAGAAAAUUAGACCGAUUCAAAGAACCACCUGCAUAUGGACCUAUGUGUGAUAUCCUGUGGUCAGACCCCCUGGAAGAUUUUGGAAAUGAGAAGACUCAGGAACAUUUCACUCACAACACAGUCAGGGGGUGUUCAUACUUCUACAGUUACCCGGCUGUAUGUGAAUUCUUACAGCACAAUAACUUGUUAUCUAUACUCCGAGCCCACGAAGCCCA
rnacentral:lncRNA from 10 species